CCUACGGGAGGCAGCAGUGGGGAAUAUUGCACAAUGGGCGCAAGCCUGAUGCAGCAACGCCGCGUGAGGGACGACGGCCUUCGGGUUGUAAACCUCUUUUAGUAGGGAAGAAGCGAAAGUGACGGUACCUGCAGAAAAAGCACCGGCUAACUACGUGCCAGCAGCCGCGGUAAUACGUAGGGUGCAAGCGUUAUCCGGAAUUAUUGGGCGUAAAGAGCUCGUAGGCGGUUUGUCGCGUCUGCUGUGAAAACUGGAGGCUCAACCUCCAGCCUGCAGUGGGUACGGGCAGACUAGAGUGCGGUAGGGGAGAUUGGAAUUCCUGGUGUAGCGGUGGAAUGCGCAGAUAUCAGGAGGAACACCGAUGGCGAAGGCAGAUCUCUGGGCCGUAACUGACGCUGAGGAGCGAAAGCAUGGGGAGCGAACAGGAUUAGAUACCCUGGUAGUCCAUGCCGUAAACGUUGGGAACUAGAUGUAGGGACCAUUCCACGGUUUCUGUGUCGCAGCUAACGCAUUAAGUUCCCCGCCUGGGGGAGGACGGCCGCGAGACGUAAACUAACGAAAGUAGAGUAGUAGAGAGAGACGAGACGACGACGACGAGAGGAGAG
rnacentral:rRNA from 1 species